rnacentral:rRNA from 1 species
GGACUGCAGGCUGCAACUCGCCUGCACGAAGUCGGAAUCGCUAGUAAUCGCGGAUCAGCAAGCCGCGGUGAAUACGUUCCCGGGCCUUGUACACACCGCCCGUCACACCAUGAGAGCCGGGAACACCCGAAGUCGGUAGCCUAACCGCAAGGAGGGCGCUGCCGAAGGUGGGUUCGGUAAUUGGGGUGAAGUCGUAACAAGGUAGC